rnacentral:rRNA from 1 species
AGAACGAACGCUGGCGGCAGGCCUCAAACAUGCAAGUCUAGGGGGUGUAGCAAUACAUCACCGGCGGACGGGUGCGUAACACGUGGGAAUAUACCUUUUGGUUCGGAACAACGCAGGGAAACUUGCGCUAAUACCGAAUGUGCCCUUACGGGGAAAGAUUUAUCGCCAAAGGAUUAGCCCGCGUAGGAUUAGCUAGUUGGUGAGGUAAUGGCUCACCAAGGCUCCGAUCCUUAGCUGUUCUGAGAGGAAGAUCAGCCACACUGGGACUGAGACACGGCCCAGACUCCUACGGGAGGCAGCAGUUGGGAAUCUUGGACAUGGGGAACCCUGAUCCAGCCAUGCCGCGUGAGUGAUGAAGGCCUUCGGGUUGUAAAACUCUUUCGACGGGGACGAUAAUGACGGUACCCGUAGAAGAAGCUCCGGCUAACUUCGUGCCAGCAGCCGC